rnacentral:rRNA from 1 species
GAUGAACGCUGGCGGCGUGCCUAAUACAUGCAAGUCGAGCGAACGGACGAUAAGCUUGCUCCUCUGAUGUUAGCGGCGGACGGGUGAGUAACACGUGGAUAACCAUCCUAUAAUACUGGGAGAACUUCGGGAAACCGGAGCUAAUACUGGAUAAUAUUUUGAACCGCAUGGUUCAAAAGUGAAAGACGGUUUUGCUGUCACUUAUAGAUGGAUCCGCGCUGCAUUAGCUAGUUGGUAAGGUAACGGCUUACCAAGGCAACGAUGCGUAGCCGACCUGAGAGGGUGAUCAGCCACACUGGAACUGAGACACGGUCCAGACUCCUACGGGAGGCAGCAGUAGGGAAUAUUCGGCAAUGGGCGAAAGCCUGACGGAGCCACGCCGCGUGAGUGAUGAAGGUCUUCGGAUCGUAAAACUCUGUUGUUAGGGAAGAACAUCUGUGGAAGUAACUGUGCACGUCUUGACGGUACCUAAUCAGAAAGCCACGGCUAACUACGUG